rnacentral:rRNA from 1 species
AGAAUUUGGCGGUAUUAUAGUCUAUUUAGAGGAAUCUGUUAUGUAAUCGAUAGUCCACGUUGAACCUUACUUAUAUUAAUUCUUGUAUACCGCUGUUUAAGAAUAUACUUUUAGGUAAUUUUCUAAAUAUAUAAGUAGUUAAAAUUUCAAGUCAAGGUGCAGUAAUAUAUAAGUUGAAUAAUGGAUUACAAUAAAUUUUAUUUAUAUGGAUUAAUUAUUGUAAAGUAUUUUGAAGGUGGAUUUAAUUGUAAUUUUAUAAAGAUUAUUAAAAUGAUUUGUAGCUCUAUAAUAUGCACACAUCGCCCG